GGCUCUGCGCGGGACUGCAGGUUCUGCCCCGCAUCGGAGUGAUCGCUGAGCCUGACGCUCUCGAAGGCUGGGCCUGGGGCCCGCAAUCUACUCCGGAGGCUUUCCCACUGGGCAGGGUCGCUAGCAGGGACCCCACUGGAAAUCGGACUGUUCAACUCACCUGGCAUCCACUCCCAGAGCCCCUGGAACUCUGGCCCAAGGCUCUCUGACUGACUUCUUCCCAGAUCUUCUCGGCUUAGCAGCUGAAGACUGACGCUGCCCGAUUGCCUCAGAAGCCCCGUAGACCAUCAUGGACGCCGAGCUUUAGCAACAAAGCACCAUCUUGGAAGCAGAGAGCCACCCUCACCAGAACUGAAUGCAGGCACCGUGACCUUGAACUUCCCAGCCUCCAGAACUUGCUGCCAGGACCUGCAGAACUCCAGAUGGAUUCCCCUGGCUGACACUUGAAAGAUUUUUGCUCUAACUUAAUAGAAAUGACAGACUGGCAAAGCCAUAGUUAAAUCAGCUGGAGGAGCCACAAAUCAAAUCAUCUUUACAGAAAGAUGUGAGUGCACAUGGAAAUUUAUGGAGUCUCUCAGCAUUGUAGAAGAGCCUCUGUUUCUUCUCACUGGUUCCUGUCCUCCUCAGCUUGGUAUAUAACUCCUGAGGGCUGAAUACCUGGUUGCUGAAGGAUCCAGUCCCUGCCCUAUAACCGAGGAAGAAUUUCUACUUCCCCUUCCUGUCCAGAAGUGAUAUUCCCAGAUGAAGUGAGAAAUUAUAUGCUCUCUGGGAAAUGGCUAUCUGCAAAGACUUGUGGCAUUCUACUUUCUGGAUAUAUUGCCUUAUGUCUGGCAAACUGUACUGAUUAAAACUUUGAACAGAAGAAGGAAAAACUAAUUUGGAAGGGCUAAUCAAGACUCUCCAUAGUCCAAAAGGGAUGAUUUCUCAGUUGUGCAGAGAACCAAUAAACCUCCAUCCUGAGGACAAAAGUAAUUUUGUGAAACUGCAUGAAGUUUCUCUAGAGAGAGAGACUUCACAAAGCCCAGUGGUCACAGCUGUGCAGUGGAACCGAACUACUUUGAAUCUCUGCCAUCAAAGGAAAGAAUCUCAGGAUUUUCUGCUACAGAAGCAUGAUCGUGUUUAAAUUCUUAAAAUGCUGCAUUAGCAAGAAUUCUCCACAGAAACAGACUCUCUCUCUAGAGUUGAGAGAGAGAGAGAGUUAAUAUAGGAAUUGGCUCAUGGGACAAUGGAGGCCAAGAAGUUCCAGAAUCUGAUGUCUGCAAGCCAGCAAACAAAGCCAAUAAUGUAAUUUAGUCUGAGUUCAAAGGCCCAAGAAUGGAGGUACUGAUGGUAUAAUUCCUGAUCUGAGUCUAAAGGCCCAAGAACCAGGAACACUCAUGUUAACAGAAAAUGAAUAGGCCAGGUGCAGUGGCUCACACCUGUAAUCCCAGCACUUUGGGUGGCUGAGGCCGGCAGAUCCAUCGAGGUCAGGAGUUUGAGACCAGCCUGACCAACAUGGUGAAACCCUGUCUCUACUAAAAAUACAAAAAUUAGC
rnacentral:lncRNA from 1 species